CAAAACCGGACUAGACUGGAAAAACCGAUAACCGGUCAGCCCCCCAAGUCUAGUUUUACUAAAAACUGGAAAUUUCUAAAAACCGUUGAAAAGAUUAGAAAACCGUUGACCCAGGCGGUUGGAUCGUUAAACCGUUCGACCUGGGCAGCGGUUUGCUGGUUAAUCUUUUUCUUUUUAAUGUUUUAAAUGAAAAAAAAAAAACUUCUAUAUCCCCCAACCCAGUUUGAAUGUUUAUUCCUUUAACUUUAGGGUUAGAACCCAUUUUCGUUCUAACCCUUCUUGAGUUCUCUCCUCUCAACCCUCACACCCUGUCGACCACCUGCGGUGACCAGUACCCUCGGCGUCCAACAGCGACACAUCAACCAACGACGAUCGGUGAUGGUGAGUACUUGCAGCAGCGACCAGUACUUGUAGGUAGUAGUAAGAGUUGUGGCAACCAGAACUUGCAGUGGUGGUUGACUUGCAGCGGCGGACGGCAAGCUUGCGACGGAUGUCCGACAAGUUUGCAGUGGCAUUCGGCACUCGACAUUGGGCAUUGGCAACCAAACCCACUGUCUGCGAGGCAGCAAUUACAGGCUUGUAGCGGCAACUUGCCUGCGACCAAGCUCUUCCCUUUGGCGGCGAGCCCACUGUCUUUAAAUCCUAUUCUAACUUUUUUUCUCCUUAUUUAUGUUGACAGUAUCAUGAAGACAAGACUCAAAUAAAGGAUGCAAUGAAGUUGGGAAAAAUUAAUAUGGCUUCAACAUGGACACUUGAAGAUUUCAAUCUGCUAUUGCUGAGGAUGUUGGUUCCCCACCAAUAUCAGAUCAGAUGUCAACUUAAAGGU